CCAUGUCUCGCCGUGACGUCACGCGCCGUAUCCCGAGCCCGAGCGCUCCCCUGAGCGCGUGGUCCCGGUCGCGAGCACAUGGAAGUGAGGUCGAGAUUUUGUGUCUGUGAGACGCGCGACUGAUCAUCAUGUGGGUGAAAGAAUGAAAAGGGAAUAUAAAAAAGCGAUAAAGCAGCGACGGAGACCGAGAGAACAGCGCGGGACGGGUGGUGUUGCAGACCCUCAUGCAGACCCAGGUCUUACUGCGGCUGCCGCUCUCAUAGACGACUGAAGAUACUGAACUGAAUGGGAAGGAUGCAAAGAGGACAUAGAUACACCCUGAAUGGGCCUCUGUGGUGAUCUACACUGUGGUUGGGAAGUACCUAGUGUUACAACUGUCAUGCUGGUCUGCUUAAAGGGACAGCGAUGAUCACUUUUACACGCAGUACGUUUUGUUUUCAGAGCUUUGAAAAAUCCAUAUAGUUGGAUGUUUCAGUUUUCGCCUUAAUAGUGAGUGAGCAGUUUCUCUGUGCAGAGUUUAGAAAUCAAACAGGGUCUUUUCUGUGUUAAAUUGCAGUUUCUAAAUGGUCAGGACAUCACUUGAAAUGCAGAAAGACUUAAUGGAGACUUCUCAGACUUCUUUCUUCAAUAAAGACAUAAAUUCAAUAGAUUUAAAGGCGUCGCCUCUUCUAUAGAGUCCAUCUUCAUACUCACACAAAAAAACAGAAGUCUAUUCAACUUUUUACCAGUUGACUAAUCUAUAAUUGCUGGGGUCAUGAAACUAUACUUCCAGAAUACACUGAGAAUUUGUGAUAUUGUGUAAAUGAAAUCUAACCACAAUGAGGUGAAAGAGGAAUGGAAUUUGUUUUGCAAUCGUUUCUAAAAAACCACAUAGAUUUUUACUUGCAUAUUCUGUUUGCAUGUUGUAGGUAUUUUCUGUUUCACUUUACACUUUUGAAUGUUUUGACAAAGCUUGUCUGAAUAAAUAUUUCUCUCUGACAGAUGUUUACUAAGCGUGUGUUUUUCUUGGACUCCGACAAGUGAGUGAAGCGUGCUCAUUACACUGAAGCCGGUCCUAAGUGUUCUGCAUCACCGCCUCUCAGUUUACAGCUGCAGAGAGUGAGAUCUUAGGCAAACACCGUAUCCGUGCUAAUUACGAAAUCCUAACCACAACAUGGAGAGCUAUUUGAGAGCUUCAUAGACAAGGUGCCGUCCUGCAGAA
rnacentral:lncRNA from 1 species